ACCGGGAUUGCCCUAGUAACGGCGAGUGAAGCGGCAAGAGCUCAAAUUUGAAAGCUGGCUCCUUCGGGGUCCGCAUUGUAAUUUGCAGAGGAUGCUUCGGGAGCGGUCCCCAUCUAAGUGCCCUGGAACGGGCCGUCAUAGAGGGUGAGAAUCCCGUAUGGGAUGGGGUGCCCGCGCCCGUGUGAAGCUCCUUCGACGAGUCGAGUUGUUUGGGAAUGCAGCUCUAAUUGGGUGGUAAAUUUCAUCUAAAGCUAAAUAUUGGCCGGAGACCGAUAGCGCACAAGUAGAGUGAUCGAAAGAUGAAAAGCACUUUGAAAAGAGAGUUAAACAGCACGUGAAAUUGUUGAAAGGGAAGCGCUUGCGAUCAGACUCGCUCGCGGGGUUCAGCCGGCCUUCGGGCCGGUGUACUUCCCCGCGGGCGGGCCAGCGUCGGUUUGGGCGGCCGGUCAAAGGCCCCUGGAAUGUAACGCCUCUCGGGGCGUCUUAUAGCCAGGGGUGCCAUGCGGCCUGCCCGGACCGAGGAACGCGCUUCGGCUCGGACGCUGGCAUAAUGGUCGUAAGCGACCCGUCUUGAAACACGGACCAAGGAGUCUAACAUCUACGCGAGUGUUCGGGUGUCAAACCCGUGCGCGCAGUGAAAGCGAACGGAGGUGGGAACCCCUCGGGGUGCACCAUCGACCGAUCCUGAUGUCUUCGGAUGGAUUUGAGUAAGAGCGUAGCUGUUGGGACCCGAAAGAUGGUGAACUAUGCCUGAAUAGGGCGAAGCCAGAGGAAACUCUGGUGGAGGCUCGCAGCGGUUCUGACGUGCAAAUCGAUCGUCAAAUUUGGGUAUAGGGGCGAAAGACUAAUCGA
rnacentral:rRNA from 1 species